UGUAGUAUCGGUGAAGAUGCCGAUUACCCGCUGUGGGACGAAAAGACCCCGUGCACCUUUACUAUAGCUUAGUAUUGGUUUUGGACAAGUAAUGUGUAGGAUAGGUGGGAGGCUUCGAUCCUGCGUCGCCAGGCGUAGGUUAGCCAUUGUUGAAAUACCACCCUUUGCUUGUCUAGAGUCUAACCCUUGAGAAAGGGGACAGUGCUUGGUGGGUAGUUUGACUGGGGUGGUCGCCUCCAAAAGAGUAUCGGAGGCUUCUAAAGGUACCCUCAGCACGCUUGGUAACCGUGCGCAGAGUGCAAUGGCAUAAGGGUGCUUGACUGAGAGACCUACAAGUCGAUCAGGUACGAAAGUAGAGCAUAGUGAUCCGGUGGUUCCGCAUGGAAGGGCCAUCGCUCAAAGGAUAAAAGGUACGCCGGGGAUA
rnacentral:rRNA from 13 species